rnacentral:misc_RNA from 1 species
GAUGAAGAACGGAGCGAAAUGCGAUAAGUAAUGUGAAUUGCAGAAUUCAGUGAAUCAUCGAAUCUUUGAACGCACCUUGCGCCCUUUGGCCAUUCCGAAGGGCAUGCCUGUUUGAGUAUCAUGAACACCUCAACUCUUUAUGGUUUUCCAUGAUGAGCUUGGACUCUGGGGGUUUUGCUGGCUCACAGUCGGCUCCUCUAAAAUGAAUCAGCUUACCAGUGUUUGGUGGGUAUCAUGGGUGUGAUAACUAUCUACGCUUGUGGUUUUUCCACCAGGUAACCUUCAGCAGUGGAGGUUCGCUGGAGCUCAUAGAUGUCUCUCCUCAGUGAGGACAGCCCUUUGAAUGUUUGAUCUCAAAUCAGGUAGGACUACCCGCUGAACUUAAGCAUAUCAAUAAGCGGAGGA